AUGCUUCCGAGGACCCCAGGCGACGCCUUCAAGAAGGAGCGCGACGAGGGUACGACGCCGUCGCCCGCAAGGGGAACUAGAGCUUUCGCCCAAAGGAAGAUCACGGUGAAGGACGGGAAAGGACCUCGACAAGGCCUCCAAGAAGGGGACCGACGCCCAGCAGACGCCGCCAUUGUCGUGGCCUCCGCCGACGGCCAAGGGUUUCCCCCGGUCCCGCCCCCAUCCCAUCCACCCAGCCAAAGACUGGCCAGGGGAGCGCACGCAGCCGGAGAAAGCGUUGGACUUCAUCGAAGCAGGCACGCCGGGUGA
rnacentral:rRNA from 1 species